GGGGAAUAUUGCACAAUGGGCGCAAGCCUGAUGCAGCCAUGCCGCGUGUGUGAAGAAGGCCUUCGGGUUGUAAAGCACUUUCAGCGAGGAGGAAGGCAUUAAGGUUAAUAACCUUAGUGAUUGACGUUACUCGCAGAAGAAGCACCGGCUAACUCCGUGCCAGCAGCCGCGGUAAUACGGAGGGUGCAAGCGUUAAUCGGAAUUACUGGGCGUAAAAGCGCACGCAGGCGGUUUGUUAAGUCAGAUGUGAAAUCCCCGAGCUUAACUUGGGA
rnacentral:rRNA from 1 species